rnacentral:tRNA from 1 species
GCCUGGGUGGCUCAGUGGGUUGAGCCUCUGCCUUCAGCUCGGGUCAUGAUCUCAGGGGCUUGGGAUCGAAUCCCAAGUCAGGCU